rnacentral:lncRNA from 1 species
CAUUAGUCACAAAGUUAUCCUAAGGCACUUACAAUUUAAGUGGAGAACUAAAACUAACACAUGGAACAAUCAAAGGACAAUACAUCCUAGCACAUAAUUAGGUUCUAAAUUCCUUGUUACAGAUGAAAUUAUGAGGGCAGCAGGGAGGAACAGCAGCGUGAGCCGGAGGAAUCAGGGAAGACUUCUACGAGAUAUGAGACUUGGGCUGGCCCCUGGAAGGACAACAGGGAAGAGCAAUAAUCUCUAUAAAGACAAGGGCAGAGAUGAGUCUGUUCAUGGGUCAGUGAGACCAAUUCGGCUAGGGAGAGAAAUUGGCAGCGUGGAGCCAAAUUACUGGUAGUCUUGGAAGUCAGCCUAAGGCGUUUUUACACAGGAUGUGGUAGCAAAUAGAAGCAGCCUGGGAAGUUUUCAGACGGGACUCACUCUCCAUUAUUUCUCUUCCUCUUCCCGAUGAAUGAAGUCACUUGCAUUGGCUAGGAUCACCCUGUGGGUGGUGAAUUUCUGAGAAUGUGGCAGAUGAAAGUGGUGGUGGCAGCAUCUCAUUCUGUUUCCCAGAUGGUGGUAAAUCUAGGCUGGGAAGCGCCACUAUUUCCCCAAAUUCUGUGACUUCACAGAAGUUGCAGGAAACAGGGUGGAGAUGGGAAUAAAGAACUUUCCUCCACAGCCUUGGAAGGUGGUAUUUUACAACAGGCAUAUGGUGCUGGCUUCGAUCAGAGAUCAUUUCCACUUGUGUGCCGCUUCUCAUGAUAAAUAAGAAACCCAUCAGAGAAGUAUCCUCGUGGGAAAACAGCCCAAUGGUGGGUGAUACUAACUUCUAUCUUUCUAGAUCAUCGAGAUUUUAUACAGAUAGGCAACACCAUUGCACUGGAUAAUGACGGCUCCGACCCUCAGAAUCUUUCACAAUCUGAGUUGAUCAUAAUUUUACCAUACCAUGAAGCAUGAAGUAAAAUGCCUGUGAGAAGUUUCAUGCGCAAUCUGGAAUGAGAACUGCUACACAGAAUUUCAUAAUUCAAAAAAUUACAAGUGGUGAUAACGGCUUGCAUGUUGCGGCACCUGAAGAUUUCAAAUCUCUACUCACAGGUUGUCAAGCCUAGUACUGGGAAGUGAGAGUGGAUUUCUUCUUCCCUUUCAUGCUUCCCCGAACAACAGGACCCUCAGAGAGUACUGCCCAGGAGCCACGACAGUGAAUCCAAUGGUGGACAGUGACAAGAAGGAUCAAGAGAGAAUCUUCUCACGGCCCAUUCCUUAACAGGGAAUGUCCCAUGUCAGCUGGAUAGUCCUGGGGACCACUGGUGAUAAAGGGUGUCCAUGGCAAAACUACGCAGACAGUGAAAAGCCCAGUGGUUGUCAGGGAUGUGGGGAGGGAGAGAUGGAUAGAGAGAGCACAGAGGAUUGUUAGAGCAGUGAAAAUACUCUGUAUGAUAUUAUAAUGGUGGAUACGUCAUUGUACAUUUAUUCAAACUCACAGAAUGUACAAUGCCAAGAGUGAACACUAAUGUAAA